GGUUCUGUAGCUCAGUUGGUUAGAGCAUUGGUCUUAUGAGCCGAAGGUCGUGGGUUCAAGCCCCGCUAGAACCA